rnacentral:rRNA from 1 species
AGUGAACGCUGGCGGUAGGCCUAACACAUGCCAGUCGAACGGCAGCACAGUAAGAGCUUGCUCUUACGGGUGGCGAGUGGCGGACGGGUGAGGAAUACAUCGGAAUCUACUUUUUCGUGGGGGAUAACGUAGGGAAACUUACGCUAAUACCGCAUACGACCUACGGGUGAAAGCAGGGGAUCUCCGGACCUUGCGCGAUUGAAUGAGCCGAUGUCGGAUUAGCUAGUUGGCGGGGUAAAGGCCCACCAAGGCGACGAUCCGUAGCUGGUCUGAGAGGAUGAUCAGCCACACUGGAACUGAGACACGGUCCAGACUCCUACGGGAGGCAGCAGUGGGGAAUAUUGGACAAUGGGCGCAAGCCUGAUCCAGCCAUACCGCGUGGGUGAAGAAGGCCUUCGGGUUGUAAAGCCCUUUUGUUGGGAAAGAAAAGCAGCAGGUUAAUACCCCGCUGUUCUGACGGUACCCAAAGAAUAAGCACCGGCUAACUUCGUG